GACGGAGGAGGCUAGCGUUGUUCGGAAUUACUGGGCGUAAAGCGCACGUAGGCGGUGAUGUAAGUCGGGGGUGAAAGCCCGGGGCUUAACCCUGGAAUUGCCUUCGAGACUGCAUCGCUUGAGUAUGGAAGAGGAGAGCGGAAUUCCCAGUGUAGAGGUGAAAUUCGUAGAUAUUGGGAAGAACACCGGUGGCGAAGGCGGCUCUCUGGUCCAUUACUGACGCUGAGGUGCGAAAGCGUGGGGAGCAAACAGG
rnacentral:rRNA from 1 species